AGGAUAAACGCUGGCGGCGUGCCUAACACAUGCAAGUCGAACGUCUCUUCUUUCGGGAAGAGGAGUGGCGGACGGGUGAGGAACACGUGGGAACCUGCCCUUUAGUGAGGAAUACCGGCGAGAAAUCGCCGACAAGACCGCAUAGCCCUCUUUGAUGAGAGUCAAAGAAGGAAAGCUUCGCAAGAGGCGCUAGAGGAGGGGCCUGCGUCCGAUUAGCUAGUUGGUGGGGUAAGAGCCUACCAAGGCGUCGAUCGGUAGCUGGUCUGAGAGGACGAUCAGCCACACUGGGAUUGAGAACGGCCCAGACUCCUACGGGGGGCAGCAGUGAGGAAUUUUCGGCAAUGGGGGAAACCCUGACCGAGCAACGCCGCGUGCAGGAAGACGGCCUUCGGGUUGUAAACUGCUUUUCUUUGGGACGAGAACGGACGGUACCAGAGGAAUCAGCCCGGCUCACUACGUGCCAGCAGCCGC
rnacentral:rRNA from 1 species